UACGAAGGGGGCGAGCGUUGUUCGGAAUUACUGGGCGUAAAGGGCGCGUAGGCGGCGACUCAAGUUAGAUGUGAAAGUCCUGGGCUUAACCUGGGGACUGCAUUUGAUACUGGGUUGCUUGAAUUCGGGAGAGGAUAGCGGAAUUCCCAGUGUAGAGGUGAAAUUCGUAGAUAUUGGGAAGAACACCAGUGGCGAAGGCGGCUAACUGGUCCAGAUCUGACGCUGAGGUGCGAAAGCGUGGGGAGCAAACAGG
rnacentral:rRNA from 1 species